rnacentral:rRNA from 1 species
AGCGGCGAACGGGUGAGUAACACGUAAAGAACCUGCCUCAUAGACGGGGACAACUAUUGGAAACGAUAGCUAAUACCGGAUAACAGCAUAAAUCGCAUGAUAUAUGUUUAAAAGUUGGUUUCGGCUAACACUAUGAGAUGGCUUUGCGGUGCAUUAGCUAGUUGGUGGGGUAAAGGCCUACCAAGGCGACGAUGCAUAGCCGACCUGAGAGGGUGAUCGGCCACACUGGGACUGAGACACGGCCCAG